ACUCAAAGGAAUUGACGGGGGCCCGCACAAGCAGCGGAGCAUGUGGUUUAAUUCGAAGCAACGCGUAGAACCUUACCAGGGCUUGACAUCCAUCGAAUCCUGCAGAGAUGCGGGAGUGCCCUUCGGGGAGCGAUGAGACAGGUGGUGCAUGGUUGUCGUCAGCUCGUGUCGUGAGAUGUUGGGUUAAGUCCCGCAACGAGCGCAACCCCUAUCGUAUGUUGCCAGCGUAAAGACGGGCACUCAUGCGAGACUGCCGGUGACAAACCGGAGGAAGGUGGGGAUGACGUCAAAUCAUCAUGCCCCUUAUGUCCUGGGCAACACACGUGCUACAAUGGGCGCCACAAAGCGAACCGAACCUGUGAGGGGGAGGAAACCGCAAAAGGCGCUCCCAGUUCAGAUCGCAGGCUGCAACUCGCCUGCGUGAAGCCGGAGUUGCUAGUAAUCGCGGAUCAGCACGCCGCGGUGAAUACGUUCCCGGGCCUUGCACACACCGCCCGU
rnacentral:rRNA from 1 species